rnacentral:rRNA from 1 species
UACGGGGGGAGCAAGCGUUGUUCGGAGUUACUGGGCGUAAAGAGUAUGUAGGCGGUUGGGUAAGUUUGGUGUGAAAUCUCCCGGCUUAACUGGGAGGGUGCGCUAAAGACUGCCUGGCUCGAGUGUGGGAGAGGAAAGCGGAAUUCCUGGUGUAGCGGUGAAAUGCGUAGAUAUCAGGAGGAACACCUGCGGUGUAGACGGCUUUCUGGACCAUAACUGACGCUGAGAUACGAAAGCGUGGGUAGCAAACAGG